AUUGAACGCUGGCGGCAGGCCUAACACAUGCAAGUCGAACGGAGGAAGGGAGCUUGCUUCCGGAUGCAGCGGCGGACUGGUGAGUGAGUCCUAGAAAUCUGCCUGGCGGUUGGGUAUAACGUCCGGAAACGGGCGCUAAUACCGCAUAACUGCUGAGGAUGAAGGUGAGGGAUCUUGGGACCUCAGGCUAUCAGAUGAGCCUAGGUCGGGUUGGCUAGUUGGUGGGGUAAAGGCCUACCAACGCGACGAUCCGUAACUGGUCUGAAGGGAUGAUCGGUCACCCUGGAAGUGAGAACCGGUCCCGACUCCGACGGGAGGCCGCAGUGGGGAAUAUUGGACGAGGGGGGAGAGCCUGAUCCAGCCCAGCCGGGGGUGUGAAGAAGGUCCUCCGAUUGUAAAGCACUUUAAGUUGGGAGGAAGGAAAGUAAGUUAAGAACUUGCUGUUUUGACGUUACCAAAAGAAUAAGCACCGGCUAACUUCGUG
rnacentral:rRNA from 1 species